rnacentral:lncRNA from 1 species
GCCUGGUACACACGUAAAAAUCUCACAUCUUGUAACAAGUCUGCCAACAAGCCGUCAACAAGAUGUAUUCGCACUGCUUGUCACAAGUUGUCAACGGGUUUGGAACAACUUGUUAACAAUUUGUAACAACCUUGUCGAACUUAUCAGACUUGAUGCAAGGUUGUUCUGACAAGUCUGUUACAUGCUUGAUAUAACAAGAUUGUUACAACCUUGUGUUGACAACCUUGUAACAUCCUUGUUAUAUCAUGGCUGUAACAAACUUGUUAGCAUAGUCUUG